GAUGAACGCUGGCGGCGUGCCUAAUACAUGCAAGUCGAGCGAACAGACGAGGAGCUUGCUCCUCUGACGUUAGCGGCGGACGGGUGAGUAACACGUGGAUAACCUACCUAUAAGACUGGGAUAACUUCGGGAAACCGAGCUAAUACCGGAUAAUAUAUUGAACCGCAUGGUUCAAUAGUGAAAGACGGUUUUGCUGUCACUUAUAGAUGGAUCCGCGCCGCAUUAGCUAGUUGGUAAGGUAACGGCUUACCAAGGCAACGAUGCGUAGCCGACCUGAGAGGGUGAUCGGCCACACUGGAACUGAGACACGGUCCAGACUCCUACGGGAGGCAGCAGUAGGGAAUCUUCCGCAAUGGGCGGAAGCCUGACGGAGCAACGCCGCGUGAGUGAUGAAGGUCUUCGGAUCGUAAAACUCUGUUAUUAGGGAAGAACAAAUGUGUAAGUAACUAUGCACGUCUUGACGGUACCUAAUCAGAAAGCCACGGCUAACUACGUG
rnacentral:rRNA from 1 species